rnacentral:rRNA from 1 species
CACGUCAGUUGAAAAUGGCGGUGAUGAACUGUGGAUAGGGGUGAAAGGCCAAACAAACUCGGUGAUAGCUGGUUCUCCGCGAAAUGCAUUUAGGUGCAGCGUCGGGUGUUCAGUCAUGGAGGUAGAGCACUGGAUGGGUUAGGGGGCCUACAAGCUUACCGACCCCAGCCAAACUCCGAAUGCCAUGACUCCAGAGCUCUGCAGUGAGACCACGGGGGAUGAGCUUCGUUGGUCGAAAGGGAAACAGCCCAGACCGCCGGCUAAGGCCCCAAAUUCUGGACUAAGUGGUAAACGAUGUGGGAUUGCACAGACAGCCAGGAGGUUGGCUUAGAAGCAGCCACCCUUGAAAGAGUGCGUAACAGCUCACUGGUCGAGUGAUCCUGCGCGGACAAUGUAACGGGGCUCAAGUCCAGAGCCGAAGCCGCGGAUUUCUGUCGCAAGACAGGAGUGGUAGGGGAGCGUCGACCUCGCAGCGAAGCGGUGGUGUGAACCGUCGUGGAGCGUGGUCGAGUGAGAAUGCAGGCAUGAGUAGCGAGAGAGGGGUGAGAAACCCCUCCGCCGAAAGCCCAAGGGUUCCUGGGGAAGGCUAAUCCGCCCAGGGUAAGUCGGGAGCUAAGACGAGGCCGAGAGGCGUAGUCGAUGCACAACCGGUUGAUAUUCCGGUACCGCCGUGCCCGCGCCAAUGCCGAUCUCGAGUUGCUAAGGGGCUGUCUUCGGACGAACCGACCCACUCGAAGGACGCAAGCGAUGCGGGGACGCAGGAGGGUAGAUCAACCCAGGCGAUGGUUGUCCUGGGGUAAGCGUGUAGGACGGGGACCAGGUAAAUCCGGGCCCCAUGAAGUCUGAGACGUGAUACCGAGCCGUUCUAGGUGAAGUGAUUGAUCCCAUGCUGCCAAGAAAAGCCGCUAGUUAGUUGGCACGGCGCCCGUACCCCAAACCGACACAGGUGGGCAGGUAGAGAAUACCAAGGCGAUCGGGAGAACUGUGGUUAAGGAACUCGGCAAAAUACCUCCGUAACUUCGGGAGAAGGAGGGCCUCAUUAGGGUGAGGGACUUCGCGUCCUGAGCUCGAGGGGGCCGCAGAGACCAGGGGAAAGCGACUGUUUACUAAAAACACAGCAGCGUGCCAAGUCGUAAGACGAUGUAUACGCUGUGACGCCUGCCCGGUGCCGGAAGGUUACGGGGAAGGGUUAGCCGCAAGGCGAAGCUCUGAACCUAAGCCCCGGUAAACGGCGGCGGUAACUAUAACCGUCCUAAGGUAGCGAAAUUCCUUGUCGGGUAAGUUCCGACCUGCACGAAUGGCGUAACGACUUUCCUACUGUCUCAACCACAGACCCGGCGAAAUUGAAGUACGAGUAAAGAUGCUCGUUAGCUGCAGCAGGACGGAAAGACCCCGUGCACCUUUACUACAACUUGGUAUUGGGUUUUGGUAUGCGCUGUGUAGGAUAGGUGGGAGACUUGGAAGCAUGGGCGCCAGCUCGUGUGGAGUCACCCUUGAAAUACCACCCUGCGUAUGCCGGGACUCUAACUUAUGUCCGUGAUCCGGAUAGGGGACAGUGCCAGGCGGGUAGUUUGACUGGGGCGGUCGCCUCCUAAAUUGUAACGGAGGCGCGCAAAGGUUCCCUCAGCCUGGUUGGCAAUCAGGCGUCGAGUGCAAUCGCACAAGGGAGCUUGACUGCGAGACCUACAAGUCGAGCAGGUACGAAAGUAGGCCAUAGUGAUCCGGCGGCUCCUUGUGGAAGGGCCGUCGCUCAACGGAUAAAAGGUACGCCGGGGAUAACAGGCUCAUCUUCCCCAAGAGUCCAUAUCGACGGGAAGGUUUGGCACCUCGAUGUCGGCUCAUCGCAUCCUGGGGCUGAAGCAGGUCCCAAGGGUUGGGCUGUUCGCCCAUUAAAGCGGUACGCGAGCUGGGUUUAGAACGUCGUGAGACAGUUCGGUCCCUAUCCGCUGCAGCCGGAGGAAACUUGAGGAAGGCUAUCCCUAGUACGAGAGGACCGGGAUGGACGUAGCUCUCGUGUGUCAGUUGUCCUGCCAAGGGCACCGCUGAUUAGCGACCUACGGAAGGGAUAAGUGCUGAAAGCAUCUAAGUACGAAGCCCGUUCCAAGAUGAGGUUUCCCACUGGGUCAACCAGGUAAGGCCCGUGACAGACCAUCACGUUGAUAGGCCGGAGGUGUACGCACAGCAAUGUGUUCAGCCGACCGGUACUAAUCGGCCGAGGGCUUGGAUCGA